rnacentral:lncRNA from 1 species
GAAGAAUAUGUCUUGAUAAGAUGUUCUCCUUGUCCUUUUAUCUGUGGACAAAAAGUGCUAAAAGGUUCACACCUCUUGAGUGCAGAGAGUGGUAGUAAAGAGAGGGAGCCCAAGAGAACCUUGUUUUAAGACCCACAUCUCUUCCAUUAUGACUAAGUGUGCCAAGAAACACGACAAAACAGCUGGGAGACGGAUGACCAUGGAAAUGGUUGAAUCGCAACAGGAUGAUAACGCAGUGGAUUCUAUGUCAGAUAGAGACGCUGUUCACAAUCGCAGUCAGCCAGACAAGCGUGAGAUUUCCUCAGUAUCUCAGCUGGAUCUGGGGUCCUAAAGAGUUGAGGUGCCCUAAAGAUCAAACAGCAGAAACGUAUUUUG